UUCAUUGACAAGGGACAAGAACUAUGUGCAGAUUAUUCAGAAAAUACAUUUACUGAGUACAAGAAAAAAUUGAUGCUGAAUUGAAGAAUAUCCUGUAGUCCUGAAGCAUGUUUAUUAACUUUGACCAGAGUUGGAGCCACCCAGGGGAAUGAUCUCUGAUGACCUAACCUAAGCAAAACCACUGAGCUUCUGGGAAGACAACUAGGAUACUUUCUACUUUUUCUAGCUACAAUAUCUUCAUACAAUGACAAGUAUGAUGAUUUGCUAUCAAAAUAAAUUGAAAUAU
rnacentral:lncRNA from 1 species